UCAGGCCUAACACAUGCAAGUCGUGCGGAAAGGCCCCUUCGGGGGUACUCGAGCGGCGACGGGUGAGUAACACGUGAGUGACCUGCCCUUCACUCUGGGAUAACCCUCGGAAACGGGGGCUAAUACCGGAUAUGACCUGCUGCUGCAUGGUGGUGGGUGGAAAGGGUCCUGCUUUUGUGGGGUCUGGUGAGGGAUGGGCUCGCGGCCUAUCAGCUUGUUGGUGGGGUAAUGGCCUACCAAGGCGAUGACGGGUAGCCGGCCUGAGAGGGCGACCGGCCACAAGGGGAUUGUGACCCGGCCCAGACUCGUACGGGAGGCAGCAGUGGGGAAUAUUGCACAAUGAGCGAAAGCUUGAUGCAGCGACGCCGCGUGAGGGAUGAAGGCCUUCGGGUUGUAAACCUCNUCAGCUCUGAAGAANCUNCGNUNUGNGUGGUGAC
rnacentral:rRNA from 1 species